GGACGAACGCUGGCGGCGUGCUUAACACAUGCAAGUCGAACGGUGACGAGGAGCUUGCUCCUCUGAUCAGUGGCGAACGGGUGAGUAACACGUAGGAAUCUACCCUUAAGACGGGGACAACCAGGGAAACUUGGGCUAAUACCGGAUGAGAGUGCGAGAGAUUGCAUUUAAAAGGAUGGCGAAAGUUGUCGCUUAGGGAUGAGCCUGCGGUCUAUUAGUUAGUUGGUGAGGUAAGAGCUCACCAAGGCGAUGAUAGAUAGGCGGCCUUAACGGGUGGUCGCCCACACUGGGAUUGAGAUACGGCCCAGACUCCUACGGGAGGCAGCAGUCGAGAAUAGUCUACAAUGGCCGGAAGGCUGAUAGUGCGACGCCGCGUGAACGAGGGAGCCCUUCGGGGUGUAAAGUUCUUUUCUAUACGAGCAGUGCUAUAUAUAUGGAUAGUAUAUAUAGAGGGAUAGUAGUAUAGGAAUAAGCAACGGCUAACUCCGUG
rnacentral:rRNA from 1 species